rnacentral:rRNA from 1 species
GGAGGAUGCGAGCGUUAUCCGGAUUUAUUGGGUUUAAAGGGAGCGUAGACGGGUUUUUAAGUCAGCUGUGAAAGUUUGGGGCUCAACCUUAAAAUUGCAGUUGAAACUGGAGACCUUGAGUACGGUUGAGGCAGGCGGAAUUCGUGGUGUAGCGGUGAAAUGCUUAGAUAUCACGAAGAACCUCGAUUGCGAAGGCAGCCUGCUAAGCCGCCACUGACGUUGAGGCUCGAAAGUGCGGGUAUCAAACAGGAUUAGAUACCCUGGUAGUCCGCACGGUAAACGAUGGAUACUCGCUGUUGGCGAUAGACGGUCAGCGGCCAAGCGAAAGCGUUAAGUAUCCCACCUGGGGAGU